rnacentral:rRNA from 1 species
UACGUAGGGAGCAAGCGUUGUCCGGAAUCAUUGGGCGUAAAGCGCGCGUAGGUGGCCUCAUAAGUCCGCUGUGAAAGUCAAAGGCUCAACCUUUGAAAGCCGGUGGAUACUGUGAGGCUAGAGUACGGAAGAGGCGAGUGGAAUUCCUGGUGUAGCGGUGGAAUGCGCAGAUAUCAGGAGGAACACCAAUAGCGAAGGCAGCUCUCUGGGACGGUACUGACGCUGAGACGCGAAAGCGUGGGGAGCGAACAGG